rnacentral:rRNA from 1 species
GACGUAGGGCGCGAGCGUUGUCCGGAUUUAUUGGGCGUAAAGGGCUCGUAGGCGGUUUGUCGCGUCGGGAGUGAAAUCCACUGGCUUAACUGGUGGCUUGCUUUCGAUACGGGCAGACUGGAGGUAUGCAGGGGAGAACGGAAUUCCUGGUGUAGCGGUGAAAUGCGCAGAUAUCAGGAGGAACACCGGUGGCGAAGGCGGGACUCUGGGCCGAUACUGACGCUGAGGAGCGAAAGCGUGGGGAGCAAACAGG